AUGAGAGCAGAAGAUCAGACUGUCAGUCAGUCAGGACAUCACAACUCCUUCACUUCUCAAUCAUUCACUGGAAACAUGACAACACAAACUCUCAUCUGUUCUCUGAUCAUUUCACUUACAGGUUGUUUUGGUGAGAUUAUUCUCACUCAGAGUCCUAAAGUUCAGAUGGUGUCAGGAGGAGAAAGCGUCUCUCUCAUCUGUAAAUCCAGCAGUUCUGCUUUUCAAUCCAGUUUAGUUUGGUAUCAUCAGACACCCGGAAAAACACACAAACUCCUUUUCUCUAGUGUUGGAAGCCGAGUUUCUGGUGUGUCUGAGAGAUUUACUGAUGAGAGAUCAGGCACAAACUUCAAACUGAAUAUUAGAGAUGUUCAGCCUGAAGAUGCAGGAGAUUAUUACUGUCAACAGUAUUAUGAUUCAUUCACACAGUGA